GACGAACGCUGGCGGCGUGCCUAAUACAUGCAAGUUGAGCGCUGAAGGUUGGUACUUGUACCCACUGGAUGAGCAGCGAACGGGUGAGUAACGCGUGGGGAAUCUGCCUUUGAGCGGGGGACAACAUUUGGAAACGAAUGCUAAUACCGCAUAAAAACUUUAAACACAAGUUUUAAGUUUGAAAGAUGCAAUUGCAUCACUCAAAGAUGAUCCCGCGUUGUAUUAGCUAGUUGGUGAGGUAAAGGCUCACCAAGGCGAUGAUACAUAGCCGACCUGAGAGGUGAUCGGCCACAUUGGGACUGAGACACGGCCCAAACUCCUACGGGAGGCAGCAGUAGGGAAUCUUCGGCAAUAGACGAAAGUCUGACCGAGCAACGCCGCGUGAGUGAAGAAGGUUGUCGGAUCGUAAAACUCUGUUGGUAGAGAAGAACGUUGGUGAGAGUGGAAAGCUCAUCAAGUGACGGUAACUACCCAGAAAGGGACGGCUAACUACGUG
rnacentral:rRNA from 1 species